AAGCGAUCGGGGAAACCAGAGCCGUUCUCUCUACCGCUCUGGGGGAAACUAAAGAAAACGGAGAAAAACAAAAUACAAACCGGAAUGAAAACAAAACGCUGGGAAACCCUGAAAAUGAAAGACGAGGACACGAGGUAAAGACGAGGUAAUGGACGUUGACCGCUCUCUACGUACGGUACAUAUUCCUACAGACGGAGACGUUGACAGGUUCCUAGCAAACUGGUGGCUAGAAAAAAAACAAGUAGGAUGUGCGGACAGGUGGAUAAAUGGAUAGAUGGAUGGAUAGAUGGAUGGAUGGAUAAAGGGAGAUGAUGCCGCAGAGAGCACUCGGUGUGGAGGAAUCGCCAUCGACCUCCCGUCCCGACCCGUUCCUAAAGAAAGAGCGCGAGAGAUGAUCAACUGAACGUGCUACCUACAAACCCCUGUUGUACCUGGAAGUCCCAGUGUCCGGAUUUGAGGUCAUGUUGAGCCAAAAUGCUUUUGGAAGGAGGAAAGCCCUCAAAAAAGUACUAAGCUGGCAGAUACCCAGGAAAUUGGGUUCUCACCAACUAGGUGUGUGAUAAAAGUCUAAUGGUGCAAAAUGGGUUUGGUGGGCCAGUCACAUCCUGUUAGAGCUCGAGACUAAAUAAGUGCUGACUUCUGACACAACAGAUAGCCAUUCCGGCUCAGUGACUACACAUGACAUUAAUGCACUCUCAUAGUUUUAAUAAAUGUGAAUAAUUUUAUUAGCUGAAUAAAUACUGGCACUGUGGUCAGAUCCUGCGCUCA